rnacentral:rRNA from 1 species
AUUGAACGCUGGCGGCAGGCCUAACACAUGCAAGUCGAACGAGUGGCGGACGGGUGAGUAAUGUCUGGGAAACUGCCUGAUGGAGGGGGAUAACUGCUGGAAACGGUAGCUACUACCGCAUACGAUCAGAUGUGCCCAGAUGGGAGUAGCUAGUUGGUGGGGUAACGGCUCACCAAGGCGACGAUCCCUAGCUGGUCUGAGAGGAUGACCGGCCACACUGGAACUGAGACACGGUCCAGACUCCUACGGGAGGCAGCAGUAGGGAAUAUUGCACAAUGGGCGAAAGCCUGAUGGAGCCAUGCCGCGUGUAUGAAGAAGGCUUUCGGGUUGUAAAGUACUUUCAGCGGGGAGGCGUUACCCGCAGAAGAAGCACCGGCUAACUCCGUGCCAGCAGCCGCGGUAAUUC